UUGAACGCUGGCGGCAGGCCUAACACAUGCAAGUCGAGCGGAUGAAGGGAGCUUGCUCCUGGAUUCAGCGGCGGACGGGUGAGUAAUGCCUAGGAAUCUGCCUGGUAGUGGGGGAUAACGUCCGGAAACGGGCGCUAAUACCGCAUACGUCCUGAGGGAGAAAGUGGGGGAUCUUCGGACCUCACGCUCUCAGAUGAGCCUAGGUCGGAUUAGCUAGUUGGUGGGGUAAAGGCCUACCAAGGCGACGAUCCGUAACUGGUCUGAGAGGAUGAUCAGUCACACUGGAACUGAGACACGGUCCAGACUCCUACGGGAGGCAGCAGUGGGGAAUAUUGGACAAUGGGCGAAAGCCUGAUCCAGCCAUGCCGCGUGUGUGAAGAAGGUCUUCGGAUUGUAAAGCACUUUAAGUUGGGAGGAAGGGCAGUAAGUUAAUACCUUGCUGUUUUGACGUUACCAACAGAAUAAGCACCGGCUAACUUCGUG
rnacentral:rRNA from 1 species